ensembl:lincRNA Gm38389 predicted gene, 38389
GCUGAGCAAGUGUGUCUGCCGUGACAUCUGCCAGCUAAGGCAGUAGGGCUGUGCCCCUGACUCCUGGCAUGCCUGCCCCCUGCCACCCUGACAUGCUUGAUCCAGGCUUCAGUGGAACCUGGAGAAGAGGGUCUCUAGUCAAGUUCAAAGUGCCCCAGUCAGGACUAGGGCUGGCUGGGCCACCUGGCUGUCCCUCCAAGGCCCGCUGAGCCUUGGCCUCACCCGAGGGCCAGCUGGACGAAUGCUCCAAUUAAAGGCCCUGGACUUACAGGGAAAACCAGAAGGUUCGAAGCAGCCAGGUCAUGCGGAUGCUUCUUGGAGACACAGCCCACUCUCACCCUUGCCAGAGGAUGGAUGGAGGGGAUGUUGUAGAAGCUUCCAGAAAAAAGUAAGGAGCUUUGUCCAAUGGCAGGUCCUGACCUGCAGCCACAUUUUCUGUAUUCACUCUUUGUCUUGUUGCUGCAACAAAAGACCUUAAAAAACAAGUUUAAAGAGGGAAGAGUUUACUUAUACUCACAGUUUGAGAGAACAGUCAGUUAUGACAGGCAAGGCCCAGUGACAGGACCGUGAGGCAACUGCUAGCAUUGUAUCCACAGUCAGGAAGCAGAGAGGGGUGGAUGCUGGUGUUUAGCUCCCUUUUUAUGCUGUCCAUG